AGGCAGCUCACGUCUGGGUUUCCCUUUGUAGUCUGUAAUAGUUUGCAAGGACUGCCACAUCCGGAAGUGAAAAGGCAGACUUUGUCGUACCCAGUGUCCUCUCUGAAGGGGUUAGUGUGUGAGGGCUCCAGCCUGCUACUUCUGAUGCUACUCCAUCUGAGAAAGAACUUGCCGAAAAACAUGACAUUCCUCUCCUUUCACCAGGACACACAUCUCAACCUCCACAUAUUUGAAGUCUGGUGGGUCAUACUGGUCAGAGGGAGCUGGGGUGCAGACACCAGACUGUGGGAGUGAAAGUUGUGGGUGUGUUUGGAAGGACGGUGGACUCAGUGGAGGAUAUCCCAGCCAAUUGGCAGUGUUGGCACUGCUACUUUCUACCUGAUGGGACGAGUUGAAGGUGGAGCAUGCCUCGUACCUGUGGAAGCACCUGGAACUCUGUGCCAUGAUGGCCGACUUCUUGCAAUUCCUGUUACUACGAAAACCGAGCUAUGUCUUCAUGUUCGCCCAUGAGGACAUCUCUCCCUUCGCCUCCCGGCAACCCUUCAAUACCUUCAAUACCUCCUCACCUUGAGGACACACACUGUGCCUGCGUCUCAAUAGUCUUGUAGGUUCCUCCUACUGGCACUUUAGUGAGGACAAUACUGUUCUGGUUAGCACUUGUCAUUAGUAUGUAGAGGCCCUCCAUCAUCAAAUGAAUGCUUUUAUGUAUCUUUUUUGUAUUUUAUUUUGUGAUACUGUUUUUACUUUCUACUGUUUUUGUAUGAGCUGCAAUGAAACAAAUUCCAAUCAACUGUUGAUAUGCCAGUCGCAAGAGUUACAGUUGUCAGUUGGUGUGAAUAAAAUAUUAUUAUUAUUAUUUCAUGUCUUGUAUAUUAACUUUAUCCUCGAGUGUGAUAAUUUCAGUAACUGCUACCUUGCUUUGGCUCUGAUGUGAUCACCCCAUAAAUCUGUAAGAAUGAAAUGCUAUGUAUGUAUGAUCUGGUUUCUGAAUGGAAUACUUUGAUGAGUGUCCUUUCAACUGGCCUUUACCUAAUUUGUCAAGACAACAUGGUUUUGUUGUCCUUUAAACUUUAAUCCAUACCUCUGAUUCAACCACAAAUGUGUCACACCCUGAUCAGUUUCACCUGUCCUCGUUAUUGUCAGCACACCUUCCAGGUGUCGCUUGUUUUCCCCACUGUAUUUAUCCCUGUUUCCUGUCUCUCUGUG
rnacentral:lncRNA from 1 species